rnacentral:rRNA from 1 species
GGAAUAUUGGACAAUGGGGGAAACCCUGAUCCAGCAAUGCCGCGUGAGUGAUGAAGGCCUUAGGGUUGUAAAGCUCUUUUACCCGGGAUGAUAAUGACAGUACCGGGAGAAUAAGCCCCGGCUAACUCCGUGCCAGCAGCCGCGGUAAUACGGAGGGGGCUAGCGUUGUUCGGAAUUACUGGGCGUAAAGCGCGCGUAGGCGGCUUUGCAAGCCAGGGGUGAAAUGCCUGAGCUCAACUUGGGAAUUGCCUUUGGGACUGUGAGGCUUUGAGGACGGGAGAGGUGAGUGGAAUUCCCAGUGUAGAGGUGAAAUUCGUAGAUAUUGGGAAGAACACCGGUGGCGAAGGCGGCUCACUGGCCCGUUUCUGACGCUGCAGCGCGAAAGCGUGGGGAUCAAAC